AACGAACGCUGGCGGCGUGGAUAAGACAUGCAAGUCGAACGCUGAUUGUGGGGUAGCAAUAUUCUGCAGUCGGAGUGGCGAAAGGGUGCGUAACACGUGGGUCAUUUGCCGUGAAGUUGGGGACAACUCGCUGAAAGGCGAGCUAAUACCGAAUGUGGCUGUAAAGCUAAAGUUGGGGACCGCAAGGCCUGACGCUUCACGAUAAGCCCGCGGCCUAUCAGCAGUUGGUGAGGUAACGGCUCACCAAGGCUAAGACGGGUAGCUGGUCUGAGAGGACGACCAGCCUCACUGGAACUGAGACACGGUCCAGACACCUACGGGUGGCAGCAGUCGAGAAUUUUUC
rnacentral:rRNA from 1 species